GGGGUUGUGGCUCAGCAGUAGAGCGCUUGCCUAGUAUGUGUGAGGCCCUAAGUUCAAUCCUUAGCACCA
rnacentral:tRNA from 1 species